AGAUCCGUGCUCGAAGAAUUUUUUCUGAAGAAAAUGACGGCAAAAAUAGAUCUGAAAUGGCGAGAAAGUUGCAAGGAAGAUAUGGGGUUUAUCAUGGUCGAUGACUUCAUGAUGACUCGCAGCAAAAGCAGUAGAUCUAGCCAUAAUUUAUGAAGGACAAGACAAGAAUCCAGAGAUGUGUCGUGUGCUACUCACCCACGAAAUCAUGUGCAGCCGUUGCUGUGACAAGAAAAGUUGUGGCAAUAGAAACGAGACUCCAUCGGACCCAGUGAUCAUCGACAG